GCUGCUGUUGCUUCAUUGCUGGCUCCUGGGCCACAGCCUCAGGCUUGGAGGCCCUCCAGUCUCUGAAGAUGGAGGAGGAGUGAUGCCUCCUCUUCUGGUACCCACCAGGACACUAGAUUUGGCCAGAGAGCCACCCAAACUCAGGCUGGGCAAUAACCAUUCAGGCAAGUGCCCAAUGGGGAGUGAGCGCUGAGACUGGGCAGCCAGUGGGAUGGAUCUGGGUCCACUCUCCCUUUUCAACUUGGGAUUUAUUUAGUUGGAACAAUAUGCCAACUUACAGAGAAGACCCAAAGAAAAUGGAAAUUUUUUUUUUCUUUUUGGACAACCCACAGCUAACCUGGGCAGAUGUUCAAAAUUGAUUAAACAGCGUCCUCACGUCAGAAGAAUGUUGAGUGGUGCUGGAUAAACCUCCGGAGGAGGCACAUGGGCUUCACACAGAAACCCCUGGCCACCCAGUACAGGCUGCUGCAAGCAUGGUUGUACCAACGGUGGGUCCUGAUUGGGACAGGAAUGCUGGAGGUGGGCUAAAACUUGAGCAUUAUGGGGACUGCAUUUUUGCAGGCUUGGGAAGAGGGGUGACAAAACAAAAAUGCUUCAAUAAAGAACAGGAGAUAAAACAAACCAAAUAAGGGUCCUUCAGAAUUUCUACAAAGGGCCAUUUAAAGCCUGGAGGCAACAUACAGAGACUCUGAGGCGCCAGAGAAUUUAAAGAUGGUUAACAUGAACUUCAUUGAUCAGAGCGCCCCCGAUAUGCCAAAGAAGCUGCAAAAGGUGGAAGGGGCUUUAGGGAUGUCCAUGUUUCAACUUGCUGAAAGUGUCUACAUUUUCAAACGGCGAGGACCAGUUCAGGAGAAAAGGGAGCAAUAGAGAAUAACACAGCAGACCACUCCGCUGGCGGCUGCCGUAACACAGGGAAGGGCAGGACCAGAUGGAGGACCCGCCACGAGGGACUCGGCAACAAAAUACAGUCUUGACUUUGAACUUUUGGGUUGAAUGAGGCUCUAAGGUGUCCAAGUAAAAGGGGACAGAGUUCUAAGUCUUCUGUUAAAAUACUGGGGUUUUGAACUACCAGAAGGACCAAGACUUGCUCCCUGACGGGAGGGAAGCUCUAGCCAGGGCUGCAGUUCCCACCAUCAGGAGGCAAUUGUGGGGAUUCCUGGGAAUAACUGGGUUCUGCCGCAUUUGGAGCCCCAACUUUGGACUCAGAGCAAAACCACUUUAGGAAGCUCUCAGAGGAGGAGACAAUGAAUCUCUAGACAGAAAUCUUGGAAGAAUAAACAUCCAGAAGACCAGUUCCAUCCUUCCUGGACUAGACCUUGUGAGGAAUGUGAUGGGAAAUGGAAAGUAAGCUGCAGAGGACAACGGUGGACAGAGAUCAUCUAAACCUUGGCUGGUUCCAGACCCCCUACGCCGACUCCUUCAAGUGGGCAAGUGAACCCCUAACAGACCUUAAGCUGCUUUUCAGAAAGAGGCCGCAAGAAAGAAACUAAGGCUUGGAAGGACAACUCAGUGGUGAGGACUUGGCAAACUUGGGCAAAAGCAGGUAAUCUCUCUAGCUGGUGAACGUUGUCACCAAACCCUUUUUCUGUACUGGAUCAUGCUGAUUCCUUGGUCAUGCCUGUCAUUAAUUUUCUGACUGUCCCUAACUUCACUGUGACUUCUGAUGUGACAUACUGGAUUAGGCUAAUCAACAGAAUUUCCUGUCCUCUGCUUUUCCUCCUCUAAGCUGAAAUUUGGUCCCUAUGUCCUCAGAUUUUAAAAAAGUGGGGAGAAUAUAGCUCAGUGGUAGAGUGCAUGCCUAGCAUGCGUGAGGUCCUGGGUUCAACCCCCAGUACCUCCACUAAAAAAACUAAUUGCCUGCCCUAUCCCCCAAAACUCCCCCCAAAGAAAAGACCCUGGAGCCUACCCUGGCAAGUUUCUAUUCGGUGAGGAUACUGUAGAAACCAUACUUAUUUUUCCCAGCCUGUGUUCCUUCCAUAUUUAGUAUCUAAGUGUUUCAGCCAAACUGAUAAUGAUCGGGACACUCCAGCAUGUAAAAAUGUGAGACACCGACCUCUGGCUUGACAAUGUCCUGGAUAUAAAAUCCCUAAAAAAGCCUAAAGUUUAACAAUGUGUGCCCCCUCAGGGUACAUCUUCACGGUUUUAAUGACCAAUCUUGGGCCUAUGACAGCUGGCACAUAGGUGGUAUUUGUUUAUUGCUAUCAGAAUGCUAACUUGAAACUCAGAACAAGAGAAUGUUUUCAAAUGAGUGCCAGUUUCAUUCCUCCAGGCCUUGUUAGGGUCAGGAAGUAACCAGAGCAGUCAACGCCCCCUCAUCCCUCAAGACAGGAAUGACAAAAGAUAGGAGGGACUGGAACUGUGGGUAAUGACCAGUCAAGUCCAUUUCACCUGCCUUCACUAGUCAAGGUCAUUUGUUUUAGGACUUGCAUGUCCUCCAGGCAGCAGGUGGGCUACACAAGGUUUGCCCCAGUUGUUUUCCAGGAGCUUGGAGUCAGCUGUGUCUGGUUUGAGCUGAGCUAGUUAAGACUGGAUAGGACCACUGAGCCGCCAACUGGGCUGUGUGUCUGCUUGGUGACCUCUUGAUGCCAAGCGGCCACCCCCACAUUGUGUUAAGCACCUCCAUUUUUGACCGUGCAGAGGCUUGAAGCUUAGAUACACCUGCACAGAAUGAUGGUCACUGCACCUUUCCCCAGCCACCUAGCCCCAUGCCUCACAAGCCUCAGACUGCCUUGCUUCUUUAUUCUUUAUCCCAUAAAUACCUGGAGCCCCUUGCCUUCUAGGAGGUGAAUCUGAGACUUAUUCUGUCUCCUUGCUUGGCUGCCCGGCUCCCUUUGCUACAAACCCUGGCACCUCGAUGUCCUGGCUUGCUGUAUCCUGGUUUGGUAACAGUCACAAGGGCAUUACUUAAUGAUUCUUCCCCAAUCACGGCUUUUUUUGAGGGGUGAGUGUCUCACCCCCUUCUCACUGAUGACAUCUAAUUAUUCCCUUUUCCCAAACGAUACCCUGAAGAAAUGAAACUGAGCAGGAUCCUGGGGGGGCCUCCUGGGGACAGGGCACCCCCAACGUCCCCCACCUCUUGUCUGUAGAAAAACUCCAGUUUACUAGGCCUUCCCUGAGUUCCCAAGGGUAAAUUUAAUCAGAAGUGAGAAAAUGCAGAAACAAAGGAAAGCAGUCAAGCAAGAAAAAAUCAUAGUUUAGCCACAAAACAAAGUCAAGGACCUUUUAGUUCCUCCUCAAUCCUAAUUCAAUUGAACUGUUUUCCAAAUGUCUGUCUCCCUACCAAACGGGAAAGCUGUUUCACUUCUAACCCCAGUAUUCAGGAUAGAAGAAAAUUCUCUAGUGAAAUUAAGAGUAACUACUCAGGACAUGUAUCACUGCUUGCUUCAAGUCUACUCCUAAAAGUGUACGUACAAUGUUCGUGUGACAGUUUAAUAUAACUGAUAAAAUGUAUAGCCUGUAAAAUGUUCACUGUCCAAGUUUCCCCUGAUGUGGAUAACUAGGCAAAUAUAU